CAGUUUAUGGACUUUUGGCUCUCUUUCAUGGCUUGUAGUGACCACCUUUGUAUACCUCACAAUGAUGAUGAAGCCCUUAAAAGGGCAAUCCACACAGCUGCGGCUAUCAUUACUUCCCUGAUGGCUGUAACGAAGGCAACCAGCACAUCCAAUAUUAUCAUUGUGUGGCAAUCGGGGCAAUCGGUCUUCUUCUUGGGUGGAUGAUAGAGUUCUCUACCAAUAUCGACCGCUUUCCUGUUCAACGAAUUUAUGUUUAAGCAGGCUCAAAAGAUGGCCGAGCACGGAAUGGGUGCUGAAUAUUGUGAACACUGUAAAGAAACAAUAUCGAUUGGAUUUCAUGUUUGCUGGUUUUAUUGGAUUAGCCAUGGCAGCACUAAGCUGGAACCUCGAAAGCAGUGAAACUUACUGGAUUUGGCACAGUAUUUGGCAUCUCACCAUAUAUUCGUGUUCUUUCUUCUUCCUCCGUUCAAAAGUAACAGCCGUAAAUAGCAGGAAUGAAACACCGACCAACAGAAACUACCAGUUAACUCGGCGGGAUUCUUUCUCUCGAGGUAUAGGAAGAGGGAAGAAUUCUCAUAGAAUUGAAGUUCAAAUAAGAAUGAAAUAAGUUCUUUUCUAGA